rnacentral:tRNA from 1 species
GGUGGUUCUGGCGGAGGAGGAGAAGACCUUCUCCAUCGAGGUCGGUGACGAGGUGCCGACUUCGGGCGCCGGUUCCACGGCAGCGUCCGCCG